rnacentral:rRNA from 1 species
UACGUAGGGUGCAAGCGUUGUCCGGAAUUAUUGGGCGUAAAGAGCUCGUAGGCGGUUUGUCGCGUCUGCUGUGAAAACUCGGGGCUUAACUCCGGGCCUGCAGUGGGUACGGGCAGACUAGAGUGCGGUAGGGGAGACUGGAAUUCCUGGUGUAGCGGUGAAAUGCGCAGAUAUCAAGAGGAACACCAGUGGCGAAGGCGAGUCCCUGGACAACACCUGACACUGAGGCACGAAAGCUAGGGGAGCAAACAGG